GGAGUAUGGACCGUGUCUCAGUUCCAUUGUGGCCGUUCAUCCUCUCAGACCGGCUACCGAUCGUCGGCUUGGUGCGCUUUUAUCACACCAACUACCUAAUCGGACGCAGGCUCCUCGCAAAGCGAUAAAUCUUUAGUACAGAAUCCAUGCGAACUCCGCACAACAUCCGGUAUUAGCGUCCCUUUCGGGACGUUGUCCCCGACUUUGCGGCAGAUUACCUGCGCUUUACUCACCCGUUCGCCACUAGCACCGAAGUGCCCGUUCGACUUGCAUGUGUUAAGCACGCCGCCAGCGUUCGUCCUCGAGCCAGGAUCAAACUACU
rnacentral:rRNA from 1 species